rnacentral:rRNA from 1 species
CGCUGACGAGUGGCGGACGGGUGAGUAAUGUCUGGGAAACUGCCUGAUGGAGGGGGAUAACUACUGGAAACGGUAGCUAAUACCGCAUAAUGUCGCAAGACCAAAGAGGGGGACCUUCGGGCCUCUUGCCAUCGGAUGUGCCCAGAUGGGAUUAGCUAGUAGGUGGGGUAACGGCUCACCAAGCCUUCGAUGGAUAGGGGUUCUGAGAGGAAGGUCCCCCACAUUGGAACUGAGACACGGUCCAAACUCCUACGGGAGGCAGCAUG